AACGAACGCUGGCGGCAUGCCUAACACAUGCAAGUCGAACGAGACCUUCGGGUCUAGUGGCGCACGGGUUCGUAACGCGUGGGAACCUGCCCUUAGGUUCGGAAUAACUCCCCGAAAGGGGUGCUAAUACCGGAUAAUGUCUUCGGCCCAAUGAUUUAUCGCCUUUGGAUGGGCCCGCGUUGGAUUAGCUAGUUGUUAGGGUAAAAGCCUACCAAGGCGACGAUCCAUAGCUGGUCUGAGAGGAUGAUCAGCCACACUGGGACUGAGACACGGCCCAGACUCCUACGGGAGGCAGCAGUGGGGAAGAGUGGACAAUGGGCGAAAGCCUGAUCCAGCAAUGCCGCGUGAGUGAUGAAGGCCUUAGGGUUGUAAAGCUCUUUUACCCGGGAUGAUAAUGACAGUACCGGGAGAAUAAGCUCCGGCUAACUCCGUG
rnacentral:rRNA from 1 species